CUGCCAGACUCGUUCACUGCAGAGCUCAAAGACCUGCUGGAGGGGCUGCUGCAGAGAGACGUAUCCAAGAGACUCGGCUGUCAGGGCCGAGGAGCCCCGGAGGUGAAGGAGCAUCAGUUUUUCAAAGGCAUUGACUGGCAGCAGGUGUACCUCCAGAAGUACUCGCCUCCUUUAAUUCCUCCCAGAGGAGAGGUGAACGCCGCAGACGCUUUUGACAUCGGCUCUUUUGAUGAGGAGGACACCAAGGGCAUCAAGGUACAACAGACUCUUAAAGCAUCCAGACACUUUUAUUUAGCGCCCACUCCAAGUAAAUCUGUCGCUGUAAACACACACGUCUCCUGCGCCAAACAGCAUUUCCACUGAAAAUCGAAGAGCGCCGGCGGCGUCCGUGACCAUCGUCCCCGCUGUCGUGCCACACACAGACCUGUG